rnacentral:rRNA from 1 species
CUAUCGGUACUCCGAAUGCAUCCAGAUGGNUUGAAAUGAUCAUGGCUCAGAGUGAACCGCUGGCGUUAAGGCCUAACGCAUGCAAGUCGAGCGGCAGCACAGAGGAGCUUGCUCCUUGGGUGGCGAGUGGCGGACGGGUGAGGAAUACAUCGGAAUCUACUCUGUCGUGGGGGAUAACGUAGGGAAACUUACGCUAAUACCGCAUACGACCUACGGGUGAAAGCAGGGGAUCUUCGGACCUUGCGCGAUUGAAUGAGCCGAUGUCGGAUUAGCUAGUUGGCGGGGUAAAGGCCCACCAAGGCGACGAUCCGUAGCUGGUCUGAGAGGAUGAUCAGCCACACUGGAACUGAGACACGGUCCAGACUCCUACGGGAGGCAGCAGUGGGGAAUAUUGGACAAUGGGCGCAAGCCUGAUCCAGCACAUACCGCGUGGGUGAAGAAGGCCUUCGGGUUGUAAAGCCCUUNUGUAGGGANAAGAACAUCCAGGACUGGCUAAUACCCGGUUUGGGAUGACGGUACCCAAANGAAUAAAGCACCNGGCUAACUUCAGUUGCCAGACAG